AAGAAAGAAAAAUCAUCCAAGAGAAAUUUCAUCUCCUCGUUCAGAAGCAAGAGGCUCUAGAAAAUCGAGUGGAUGUGUUGAUAUCUCACCUGGCAGCCUGCGAAGGCUUCCAGCAAAUGCCUGGUGAUGAAGAGCCCCAAGGUCGGCGGGAGGCACAGAUCUACACAGGCUCUUCCAUUGAAUCUGCUGCAGCAGCAGCAGCAGCAGCAGCAGCAUCUAAAGGAGCCUUUGUUCCCCAAGCUGAGCAGUGGAGCCCGGGCAGUUUGUCCAUUUCCAGCAGUGACACAUCUGCUGCUCAGCUACAGGAGAGCCAGGGAGACUUCCUGGAGCAACUGAGUACGUCUGGUGUAUUUCUUGUCUGAGGGACAGUG